CUUUAUGAAGCCUCUACAGUCCGUGAGAUCUGCGUUUAUUUGUAGAGCUGAUUACGAAAUCAGCGAUGUUGAUGUCACUAGCAUUUUGUACUAUGCUCGAUUAAGUGUCAUCUUCAGUGUCCUCUUGUGGCUCGUUAUCUUAUCUCAGCCCCUUAACUUUGAUGAGGAUAAUCCCUUAUUUGUUAUAGUCUCUAUGGUAAAUGAUUACAUAUGACAGGUGUUGCUUUGACAACGGGGUAUUCAUCCCAUUUGCCUUCUUAUCAUUUCUUAUGGGGACACUUGAAGUGUCGUGCAUCAUGACAAUAAGCUUCGUAUAUUACGUGACUUUGAACGCAGCAUCAGUGCAGAAAUCCUGACUGGUGAUCAGGGCAUGGCGUGAAUGUUUAAGUGUAUGGGAAUGUACAUGUGGAAAAUUACCAGAGAGCCAAAACUUUCUCAGUGUGAGCCAUCACCAAUAAGAACAAAGGGCCAGAGAUAACGUUCCACCACUCAAAGACAAUAUCUCUGCUGGGACACACCACACUUCAUACCACGUUACUACUGCUAAGUGGACCACAAUAUGAAAGGUUCUGAAGCGGAAACACUCGCUGAUGCUCAUCAAAACAGACUACGCAACAAAUUUGCUGCGGUUGCAAGUAUUCGUUGAAGUUGCAAGCUUGGAUGUUAAGCUUGCAAGCUUAUUAAUUAAUCUGUGCCGAUUUUCUCCCUUUUUCUUCGGUACGUUUCGAUGGCUGCACAACUGCUGCCCACCGCAGCUGGUCAUCGUUUGGGAAUUUUCCAGCACCCACAAAAAAAUCUUACACACCCAAAAAGGCAAAAAGAGCGAGAAGAGCAGCAAAAGGAAAAUCCCAGGAAAAUAUCUGGUCAUAUCGUAUUGACAACGCAGUCACUGCAAAUUGCGCAACACCUAGAGAAUGCCCCGUUCGAUUUUCCCAGAAAAAAAAUAUCAUGCACAGCUGCUCCUAAUUGCGCUCUAGUAUUCAAGGCCACAACAUUUCAAGGUUGACUCAGUUACGUCUUUCCUGGUUAUCCGGCAAUUGCAUUGCAGAAGACACGUCUGCAUUGGUUUUUCGACAAGUUUACCACGCAUACCUUUAUGCGCAAUCACUAUACAGCGGGUCACGUCUUGGGGUACUGCUUACCAAAACUUUCCUGUAUCAAUGAGUGACGAAAUGUAUACUGUAAAUGACGCAACACGGAUAAUACUGCACCAUCAGCAGUGAGUGUCUCCCGCACUCCUUACCCAGCCUGAAGGUUGUGCAAAUAGAGGCCAAAGUAAAAACAGAAGCGAAUAUGAGCUUAAAGUGUCAUUGACAUUUGAGAUGCCAAGUACGAGUUUUUUCGGCUCCUCGCGGUCAAGGCUCUCGACCGGUAAACAAGGGACACCACAUAAUUAGGCCGCGAUUCACGCAAUAAGUGACACUCACCUUUACAUGAAAUGAAGCCUACAAAUGAAACAGAAAGUGCGAUGAAAUAUGAGCAAACCCGUCAGAACCUUUUCCGCCUCCAAGUGAAUGAGCAGCAGCAGACAACACGCUGAGCAACAAGGUUCCCCUGGCGGAGGAAUUAAGAGAUGCUCACAUGACUUUUAUUCAUUCAGCUGUCAUCGUGUUUGGUUGGCCGGGUGCGGUAUUGUGUUGGGUUGUUUAUUUCGUGGCGCAUACAUCGUACAAAUCGCAUGCGACGUUGGUUCAUCGCGCGAGCGGUGCGUCAACAUUGUGCAAGUGAUAGUUCAUGUUGCCCCCUCGAAGUUGUGCAGCAGGAACCCCAGACAGCUUAGCACCGCUUUGAACAAUGGGAACUUGCUUGUAACAAAGGAACAGAAGGUUUCCAAGCUGUUUCGUUUCCUUCUCUCUCCGAAGAUUGACCACCAGGAGUCAAGGUCAGCGAAAACGAAACGUGAAGUGCAGUUCAUUCCAGUAAUCUCCCAGGAUGCAAUGCAUACGCAAGGAGCACUGGGAUUUUUCUGAACUCGUCCACUGACAUGACAUGCAGAUGAGGUUUUGCAAGUUAUGGGACUGUCAACUAGAAACCGAAAGCACACAGAACAAAGUAUGUUUCAAAACAGUCAACAAUUAGGCAAUUUGUCGAACACAAUACACCAUAUAGGGACUGUGCGACAAACUGGUGGCGCCGCGAUGCGGCCUCCGGAGAAAGUACCUUGCGUGAUAGCCGCAGCCGCCGCGUAGCCAGCUUUGUUUGCAUGUGAAGUGCGGGCAUCUUUUUUUGCCACAGCAUCGCUAACUGUGCCAGUACCUAAAAGAACUCUUCAUUAGGGACCAGAUGCUUCAUUUCUUGUGAUUUCUAUGCUUCCAAUACCACCGAGGUCACUAGACUCGCAGCGAAUAGCGUUUGUGACGCGCGUUCGGUCAUUGCAUGAGGUGUGCACAACAUGAGCGAAUGUAUUCUAUUUCUUUUGUUCUAGUUUCAAUGAAACUGAAUGAGGACCUGCAAAAUGAUCAAUGAUCUACAGUUGCCACUUUCGUGACGGUGGAACGCCGCUGGAUACUGUAUCACCGUCAAAUACACCAACCAAACGGCAACCUAUUUCGAGAUAAUGAUUGAGGUGUUUCAUCGCCAGUACCCAGAGCCGAUAUUGCUCCCGGUAUGACGAGUCUCACAGUGAGAACAGAAGUUCUACGUUGUCCAAAAGGUUUAGUAUUUACGCACCGACCAUUUCACAGCUGUCGUGGCGCAAGCCUACGGCGGUAGCCGAGGUAAAAACUCAUAUAUACUUUCUUCUUGGAGGAUCUCUUUAGCGUUAUUGUAUCUGAAGAUACUGGAAAAACUGCAGUACAAGUUCAGGCAAUAAGUUGUGACCCCACGUGUUUAUUUGUAUGGAUAAAACGGACGCACGAUGUAAAUUUCAGUGACGAAGCUAUGUGUGUGCAAAGACGACGAAAUGAAUACAAGACUCAGUCAAAACCAUGAUAUUGCAAAUGGCUGGAGUCAGAGGAAUACACGUAUAUAGCCUUCGCUAGCAAGCCAGGAUUUUGUGAGGGGUCAAAUAACCAUCCCCUCGCUCGACGUAUCACUUACAGGUGUUUUGACCGGACAGACGCGAGUGGCCGUUCUCCUUCCGUACUGUUAGAUGCAUUAUAAAUACGGUGGUUGCUUCUGUGCAGUUUGUCUCCAUUCUCUUCGUUCGCGCCCCAGAAAGGUUCCACAUUAUUUGCACUUCGAAAAUUAGCUCUUCUAAUUACGGCGGUCGCCACGCAAGCUGCGGUUCCACUUGAGAAUGCAUAGAACGGGCGGCGUGGUAUCACGUCGGAUACGUCCAAGACCGCCACUGGCGGCGCUGUCGCGACGGAGCAGCGCGCCCCCUUUAGGUGUCGCACGGUCCCUAUAGGCCAUGCACCUGCUUCUGAGCAAAUUAAUUUUAUGUUUGAUUUAGAGGAAUCUGCAAUGCUUUCAAUAAGCCCUUACCAGAAACCUAGUGUACACAUGCUCAAUUCUAGAGUUCCUUUAGCCAGGCAUUGAUGCCAGGCCCUACUAAAUCUGGCUUCGAGGAAAUAUAUCCGUAUUUCUAGAAGCUUUAUCAGUAUAAUCCAAAGCCAUUACAUUUCCCUGGCUCUUGCAUUUGCUUACAGGAAGCAAAGGAGCCAAGGGAAACAGUCCUACUCAAAAAUAUCACUCCAACAUGAUUCAAUACAAAUAAAAAACACUGGUCUCCU